rnacentral:sRNA from 1 species
UAUAAAGGGGUGUUUUUCUGUGAGAAGUGGGUUAAACUCCCUCUCGCUACAUUCUCUACUGGUUUUUGUAAGAUCUGCUCUUGUUAAUUUCCUUGUAAGAUUUGUAACAUUUUUUUAAUUUUAAUUUUAUUUGAGGUAAUUAUCAUGGCAACAGGAACAGUUAAAUGGUUCAACGAAUCUAAAGGCUUCGGCUUUAUCACUCCAGAAGACGGCUCUAAAGAUGUAUUCGUACAUUUUUCAGCUAUCGCAAGUGAAGGCUUCCGUACAUUAAACGAAGGUCAAGAAGUGAACUUUGACGUAGAAAACGGUCCUAAAGGCCCACAAGCUGUUAACGUAACUGCUUAGGUUCUACAAGUUUAUGGAAAAAGCCUCGCAUUGCGAGGCUUUUUUUU